GAUUUGAGUGGGCGUCGUGGAUUCGACAUAAUCAAGGCUUCGUGGAUUCGAAGUGUGAACGUUUCGUGGAUUCGGGAUGUGGAGUUCGUGGAUUUGGACGUGGGGCGUGGACAACCCGUUGGUGUGCGCGAGAUCCGGAGAAGAUAAAAAAGAGGUUUGAGUCCGUGGAAUCGGUAAAUCACCUUGUAAUCUUUUAUUCUUAGUGGAUUGUUAUCGCGUGUUGGU
rnacentral:lncRNA from 1 species